GGGUCUGUAGCUCAGCCGGUUAGAGCACCGUCUUGAUAAGGCGGGGGUCGUUGGUUCGAGUCCAACCAGACCCACCA
rnacentral:tRNA from 2 species